UAGGUUCUAAUUCUACUGAAUUGUUGUGAUUCAAGGGAGGUUGAUUUCUUUUAUUUUUGCAACUAAGAGAUACAUUAGAGGGAUUACUGGAGUAGAGAUUCUUGGGAAACAGAAGUUAUGAACUAUUUUUGUAGAACUAAGGAUUUUACUAUUAUUUUAUGGCAUUAAACAUUGUAUUGGAGAAUUAUUUUGAGGAUGUUUUGUAUUUGGUGAAUUAGAGCUCUGACUCUUGUGAUGAGAUUCAAGGUUGCUAGUUUCUUUUAUUUAAUAUUUUUAUGGAUUAUUCAGAUUAAAUAGACUUUUAAUGCUUAUGAU